rnacentral:tRNA from 1 species
AUUUAUGUAGUUUAAAUAAAACCUUACAUUUUCACUGUAAAAAUAAAAAUUUAUUUUUUAUAAAUU